rnacentral:rRNA from 1 species
CAGCCCACUAGCUAGCUCAGACCCUAAAAUGAAACAACCAACUAUAAAUAAACCCUAACUAAACGUAAAACCCCUAAAACAAACCAUUUUUCCCCCUAAGUACGGGCGACAGAAAAGGACAUAUUGAAGCAACAGUAAAAGUACCGCAAGGGAACGCUGAAAGAGAAAUGAAAAAAAUCAGUUAAGCGAAGAGAAGCAGAGACAAACCCUCGUACCUUUUGCAUCAUGAUUUAGCAAGAAACCAUCAAGCGAAAAGCAUUUUAGUUUGAUUCCCCGAAACCAAGUGAGCUACUCCAAGACAGCCUCUAAGGGCACACCCGUCUCUGUGGCAAAAGAGUGGGAAGAUCUUUGAGUAGAGGUGACAGACCUACCGAACUUGGUUAUAGCUGGUUGCUCAGGAGAUGAAUAGGAGUUCAGCCUUUUACCCUCUUUCUCCAAAUGCUGGUUACACCCACUAAGCAACAAAGUAGGCUAAAAGAGUUAAUCAAAGGGGGUACAGCCCCUUUGAACAAAGACACAACUUUUACAGAAGGGUUAAGAUCACAACAACUUUCAAGGGACCAUGUUCUAGUUGGCCUAAGAGCAGCCACCAACACAGAAAGCGUUAUAGCUCAGACACUUCCCCGCCCCAAUUAUCCAGACCAUAUAAUCUUACCCCCCUAAGCAUACUGAGCCCUCCAAUACUUGUAUAGGAGAGACUAUGCUAAUAUGAGUAAUAAGAGACCAUGAAUCUCUCCCUGCACAAGUGUACAUCGGAACGAACCAACACCGAAAAUUAACGGCCCCAAAAGAGGGUACUGAAAUAUUAUGACUAACCCACUAGGAAACCAUCCAGCCCCCCCCCCCCACCGUUGACCUUACACCAGAGUGCACACAAGGAAAGACUAAAAGAAAAAGAAGGAACUCGGCA